UAUUCUGCCCCGCGGGGAAGGAUGAGAAGCUUCGACUAAGGUUCGACUCGAGCGUCAGCGAGAGAACGUUGCCGCAGGCAACGGCCCGAAGGGCGAGGCGCUUUAGCGCAGAGUAAUCCUUCCCCCACCACCA
rnacentral:sRNA from 1 species